rnacentral:ncRNA from 1 species
GGGAGCCGGAUGAGUCGAGAGGUUCAAGUCCGGUUCUGCGAAUGGCGGCGGAGGCAGGACCCGAC